GACGAACCGAGCGAACGUUGUUCGGAAUUACUGGGCGUAAAGGGCUCGUAGGUGGCCAACUAAGUCAGACGUGAAAUCCCUCGGCUUAACCGGGGAACUGCGUCUGAUACUGGAUGGCUUGAGUGUGGGAGAGGGAUGCGGAAUUCCAGGUGUAGCGGUGAAAUGCGUAGAUAUCUGGAGGAACACCGGUGGCGAAGGCGGUUCUGCUGGGCAGCUCCUGACGCUGAGGCGCGAAGGCUAGGGGAGCAAACGGGG
rnacentral:rRNA from 1 species